AGAGUUUGAUCCUGGCUCAGAACGAACGCUGGCGGCGUGCCUAACACAUGCAAGUCGAACGAGAAACCCUGCUUCGGUGGGGGAGUAAAGUGGCGCACGGGUGAGUAACGCGUGGGUAACCUGCCCUUGAGUUGGGGAUAACUCCGCGAAAGCGGGGCUAAUACCGAAUAACAUUCCGAUUACUAUGGUGAUUGGAAUCAAAGAUGGCCUCUGCAUGCAAGCUAUUGCUUAAGGAUGGGCCCGCGUACCAUUAGCUUGUUGGUGGGGUAAUGGCCUACCAAGGCAACGAUGGUUAGCUGGUCUGAGAGGAUGGCCAGCCACACUGGAACUGAGACACGGUCCAGACUCCUACGGGAGGCAGCAGUGGGGAAUCUUGCGCAAUGGGGGAAACCCUGACGCAGCAACGCCGCGUGGGUGAUGAAGGCCUUCGGGUCGUAAAGCCCUGUCAGGUGGGAAGAAACAUGCCGAUGCUAAUAACAUCGACAUUUGACGGUACUACCGGAGGAAGCACCGGCUAACUCCGUGCCAGCAGCCGCGGUAAUACGGAGGGUGCAAGCGUUGUUCGGAAUUAUUGGGCGUAAAGGGCGUGCAGGCGGUCGGGUAAGUCAGAUGUGAAAGCCUUCCGCUUAACGGAAGAAGUGCAUUUGAAACUGCUCGGCUAGAGUACGGGAGAGGAGAGUGGAAUUCCCGGUGUAGAGGUGAAAUUCGUAGAUAUCGGGAGGAACACCAGUGGCGAAGGCGGCUCUCUGGUCCGAUACUGACGCUGAGACGCGAAAGCGUGGGGAGCAAACAGGAUUAGAUACCCUGGUAGUCCACGCCGUAAACGAUGGGCACUAGGUGUGGGAGGUUUUAACCCUUCCGUGCCGAAGCUAACGCAUUAAGUGCCCCGCCUGGGGAGUACGGCCGCAAGGUUAAAACUCAAAGGAAUUGAC
rnacentral:rRNA from 1 species